CCGGGCCGACGAGGCACACGGACCCCACGAGCGCGGCGGCGGCGACAGCAGCGGGCCAGGCAAGAGCACAACAUGGCGGCGGGCAGGACGGACCGAGCUACAGCAGCGGCCGCGCGAGGAAGUGAGGAGAUGGAGUUUUGCUCUUGUUGCCGGGGCUGCAGUGCAAUGGUGCAAUCUCGGUUCACUGCGACCUCCGCCUCUCGGGUUCAAGCGAUUCUCCUUUCUCAGCCUACCGAGUAGCUGGGAUUACAGGCGCGUGCCACCAGGCCCGGCUAAUUUUUGUGUUUUUAGUAGAGACGGGGUUUCAUUAUGUUGAUCAGGCUGGUCUGGAACUCCUGACCUCAGGUGAUCCACCUGCCUUGGCCUCCCAAAGUGCUGGGAUUACAGACGUGAGCCACCGCCCCUGGCCUAAAUUUAACCAUCUUUAAGUAUACAUUUCAGUGACAUUAAGCCUGUUCACGUUGUGCAUCCAUCAGCAGAAUUUGUCAUUAUCCCAUACUGAAAUUCUGUAUACGUUAAACGCUUACGCCCUAUUCUCUUUUCCCCAGCCUCUGGUAACCACCAUUCUACUUUCACCUUUUGGCCACUGUGAAUGAUGCUUCUGUGGACAUUAGUAUACAAAUAUCUGUUGGAGUCCCUGCUUUCAAUUAUUGGGGGUAUAUACCCAGAAGUGAAAUUGCUGGAUUAUAUGGCAAUUCUUAUGUUUAAUUUUUUUUUUUUUUUGAGGAGCCACCAUACUGUUUUCCAUAGCAUCAUACCAUUUUACAUUCCCAAUGGUAGAAGGUUUUACAGAAGAUAGUGACAUGAUCAAAACUAUGAUUAAAAGCAAUCUGGAAAAGAGAGUAAGAUGGAGUAGAGUGGCAGAAUGACCAUGUGGAGACUUCCACAAUGGUUUAGGCAAGAUAUAAUGAGGGCGAGGGCCUGAACACAUCAUCAGCAAUGAGAAUGGAGGAAAGAGGAUACAAAUGCUGAGGUGAUAUUGCCAAGGAAAGAUUGUAAGGACUUGACCAUUGACUGGCGAUUGAGGGGUUAGGGAACAAGAAAAUUAAGGGUUUUUUUUGUUUUUGUUUUUGAGACGGAGUCUCAUUCUGUCACCCAGGCUGGAGUGCAGUGGCGCAAUCUCAGCUCACUGCAAACUCCGCCUCCCGGGUUCACGCCAUUCUCCUGCCGCAGCCUCCCGAGUAUGUGGGACUACAGGCACCAGCGACCAUGCUCGGCUAAUUUUUUUGUAUUUUUUUAGUAGAAACGGUGGGUUUCACCGUGUUAGCCAGGAAGGUCUCGAUCUCCUGACCUCAUGAUCCACCCACCUCAGCCUCCCAAAGUGCUGGGAUUACAGGCGUGAGCCACUGUGCCCGGCCAAAUUAAGGUGUUUAAUAUGACUCCCAUGUGUCACACCUGGGAGGAUGGUAGUCUUCAGAUGAAGAGUCAGGGUAUGGAGAAGUCAUGAGUUCAAGUUUGGAUAUAUAGAGUUCGAAUUACAAGUGGCACAUUGUAAGCUGUGGGGUGGACAUUUGUUGUCUUGCCUGCUGAAUACCCCUUGCCCUUUCAACUGGUAAUGGCACUCUACUUUUUUUCUUUUGAGACAGAGUUUCGCUCUUGUCACCCAGGCUGGAGUGUAGUGGUGUGAUCUCAGCUCACUGCAACCUCUGCCUCCCAGGUUCGAGCUAUUCUCCUGCCUUAGCCUCCCAAGUAGCUGGGAUUACAGGUGCCCACCACCACACCCAGCUAAUUUUUUGUAUUUUUAGUAAAGACGGGGUUUCACCAUGUUGGCCAAGCUGGUCUUGAACUCCUGACCUCAGGUGAUCUGCCCCCCUGCCUCAGCCUCCCGUAGUGCUGAGAUUAUAGGCGUAAGCCACUGCGUCCAGCCUACUUUUUUUUUUUUUCUUUAAAGGUUGUAGAAUUUAUCCUUCUUCAUCUAUGUAUUGGCUAGGCUGGGAGGGUGUGUGGCCAUGAGAAUGUGCUUCUCAGAUCUCUGACUGAGGAAAUUGUAAUUUACCAGCAGUCCAGCUGCUGAGUUCUGAAAUCCAUCCUGAGCUUUGAAAUCCAUUGCCCUUUACUCCGAGGUCUUACUUCCCAUACGCUGCUCAUAGCCAAUAACUGAGCCCAACGGGGAUUUUAGGACAGGACUGUUCCUGGGAUAAGUGAUACUCUUCCGAUGGGUGACUUUGACUCAAGGACUCCUCAAUGGCCUUGCCAAACUUUCCUUAGAACUUCAUUGCAGUCUGAGACACUUCCACCUUGAACACCUUCCCUCUGUCCUUCACUCAGGGUCAGGCCUGCGUCACUGUGCGAUGGCUCUCUCAGUCUUCCCCUUCCAUUUCCUCUCAUAAUAAAUUUUUUUAUUUAUUAUAUAUUAAUAUAUAUUAUAUUAUAUAAUAUAUAUAUAAUAUAAUUAUAUUAUAU
rnacentral:lncRNA from 10 species